rnacentral:misc_RNA from 1 species
GAUGAAGAACGCAGCGAAAUGCGAUAAGUAAUGUGAAUUGCAGAAUUCAGUGAAUCAUCGAAUCUUUGAACGCACAUUGCGCCCGCCAGUAUUCUGGCGGGCAUGCCUGUUCGAGCGUCAUUUCAACCAUCAAGCCCCCGGCUUGUGUUGGGGACCUGCGGCUGCCGCAGGCCCUGAAAACCAGUGGCGGGCUCGCUAGUCACUCCGAGCGUAGUAAUACAUCUCGCUCAGGGCGUGCUGCGGGUUCCGGCCGUUAAAAAGCCUUAUUUACCCAAGGUUGACCUCGGAUCAGGUAGGAAGCCCCGCUGAACUUAAGCAUAUCAAUAAGCGGAGGA